rnacentral:pre_miRNA from 1 species
AAGAUACUCCCUCCGUUCCUAAAUAUUUGUCUUUCUAGAGAUUUCAACAAGUGACUACAUACGGAUGUAUAUAGUCAUAUUUUAGAGUGUGUAUUCACUCAUUUUGAUCCGUAUGUAGUAACUUGUUGAAAUCUCUAGAAAGACAAAUAUUUAGGAAUGGAGGGAGUAUUAU